UAACCGUGGUGGGGGUAGAGGGCUUGCAAUUCUUUGUAUUUUUCCCAUGCUUGAUAUAAAGUUUCACUCUUUUUUUGAGUAAAAGAAGAGAUUUUCUUUUUCAAUGCA
rnacentral:snoRNA from 1 species